rnacentral:rRNA from 1 species
AGAAUCAACGCUGGCGGCGUGCCUAACACAUGCAAGUCGAACGAGAAAGUGGAGCAAUCCAUGAGUAAAGUGGCGCACGGGUGAGUAACACGUGACUAACCUACCUUUUAGUGGGGGAUAACCUAGGGAAACCUGGGCUAAUACCGCAUAAUACCUACGGGUCAAAGGAGCAAUUCGCUUAAGGAGGGGUCGCGGCAGAUUAGUUAGUUGGCGGGGUAAUGGCCCACCAAGACGGUGAUCUGUAU